GGUCCUAUAGUGUAAUCGGUUAUCACAGAGGACUUUGAAUUCUCUGAUCCGGGUUCAAAUCCCGGUAGGACCU
rnacentral:tRNA from 1 species